AAGAUGUGCUUCAGGAUCCUGCAGAUGUCCUGAUGUAUUGAUUCUAAAGAAAUUUCCUGGGAGAUCCGAACUUCCGAUGUGCAUUUCUCCAGUUCCAAUUAAAACCCCGAUGAAGAUGAGAACAUCGAUGAAUGAGGAUUUGGAAGAGUUUUCCACAUGAGGCUGCUGAAUAGCAAUUCUGAAUUGGUUACACAACAUAAUGAAGUACGCAAGAUCAGAAAAGCUUCCACUGAACAGACAACAGCAGUAUCUUUGACAUGGAUGGGGAGGCGAUGGCUCAGUGACAUUAUUGCUGGACUGUUAAUCCA